AUUGAACGCUGGCGGCAGGCCUAACACAUGCAAGUCGAGCGGAUGAAGAGAGCUUGCUCUCUGAUUUAGCGGCGGACGGGUGAGUAAUGCCUAGGAAUCUGCCUGGUAGUGGGGGAUAACGUUCCGAAAGGAACGCUAAUACCGCAUACGUCCUACGGGAGAAAGCAGGGGACCUUCGGGCCUUGCGCUAUCAGAUGAGCCUAGGUCGGAUUAGCUAGUUGGUGAGGUAAUGGCGCACCAGGGCGACGAUCCGUAACUGGUCUGAGAGGAUGAUCAGUCACACUGGACCUGAGACACGGUCCAGACUCCUACGGGAGGCAGCAGUGGGGAAUAUUGGACAAUGGGCGAAAGCCUGAUUCAGCCAUGCCGCGUGUGUGAAGAAGGUCUUCGGAUUGUAAAGCACUUUAAGUUGGGAGGAAGGGCAGUAAGUUAAUACCUUGCUGUUUUGACGUUACCGACAGAAUAAGCACCGGCUAACUUCGUGCCAGCAGCCGCUGUAAGAC
rnacentral:rRNA from 1 species